rnacentral:rRNA from 1 species
AUUUUCGCUGGACCCUCACGCGCUAACACAUGACAAGAUUCGCAACGAAGUANGCAAUACUUAGUUGGCAGACGGGUGAGUAACAUGUAGGUAUCUACCCUUUGGCCAGUGAAUAACACGUAGGCAAACUUGUGCUAAUACCUGAUAAGUCUUUACGGAGAAAGCUUUAUGCACCAUUGGAUGAGCCUGCACUUGAUUAGUUAGUUGGUAGGGUAAUGGCCUACCAAGACUUUGAUCAAUAGCUGNUUUNAGAGGAUGAUCAGCCACAUUGGGACUGAGACACGGCCCAAACUCCUACNGGAGGCAGCAGUGGGGAAUCUUGCACAAUGGAGGAAACUCUGAUGCAGCGAUGCCGCGUGAGUGAAGAAGGCCCUUGGGUUGNAAGCUCUUUCNUCGGGGAAGAAAAUGACUGUNCCCGAAUAAGAAGGUCCGGCUAACUUCGUGCCAGCAGCCGCGGNAAUACGAAGGNACCUAGC